rnacentral:tRNA from 1 species
UAUUGAGAAGUAAAAUAUUACAUUUAGUUUCGACCUAAAAAUUUGAUUGAAUACACCAAUCCUCACUUU